CCUACGGGAGGCUGCAGUGGGGAAUUUUGGACAAUGGGCGCAAGCCUGAUCCAGCUAUUCCGCGUGUGGGAAGACGGCCUUCGGGUUGUAAACCACUUUUGUAGAGAACGAAAAGUCUAUUGAUAAUACCGAUAGAUGAUGACGGUACUCUAAGAAUAAGCACCGGCUAACUACGUGCCAGCAGCCGCGGUAAUACGUAGGGUGCGAGCGUUAAUCGGAAUUACUGGGCGUAAAGGGUGUGCAGGCGGUUUUGCAAGAUGGGUGUGAAAGCCCCGGGCUUAACCUGGGAAAGCCAUACAUGACUGCAAGACUAGAGUGCGUCAGAGGGGGGUGGAAUUCCAAGUGUAGCAGUGAAAUGCGUAGAUAUUUGGAAGAACACCGAUGGCGAAGGCAGCCCCCUGGGACGCAACUGACGCUCAUACACGAAAGCGUGGGGAGCAAACAGGAUUAGAUACCCCAGUAGUC
rnacentral:rRNA from 1 species